rnacentral:rRNA from 1 species
GAUGAACGCUGGCGGCGUGCCUAAUACAUGCAAGUCGAGCGAACGGACGAGAAGCUUGCUUCUCUGAUGUUAGCGGCGGACGGGCGAGUAACACGUGGAUAACCUACCUAUAAGACUGGGAUAACUUCGGGAAACCGGAGCUAAUACCGGAUUAUAUUUUGAACCGCAUGGUUCAAAAGUGAAAGACGGUCUUGCUGUCACUUAUAGAUGGAUCCGCGCUGCAUUAGCUAGUUGGUAAGGUAACGGCUUACCAAGGCAACGAUGCAUAGCCGACCUGAGAGGGUGAUCGGCCACACUGGAACUGAGACACGGUCCAGACUCCUACGGGAGGCAGCAGUAGGGAAUCUUCCGCAAUGGGCGAAAGCCUGACGGAGCAACGCCGCGUGAGUGAUGAAGGUCUUCGGAUCGUAAAACUCUGUUAUUAGGGAAGAACAUAUGUGUAAGUAACUGUGCACAUCUUGACGGUACCUAAUCAGAAAGCCACGGCUAACUACGUG